UACGGAGGGGGCUAGCGUUGUUCGGAAUUACUGGGCGUAAAGCGCACGUAGGCGGCUUUGUAAGUUAGAGGUGAAAGCCCGGAGCUCAACUCCGGAAUUGCCUUUAAGACUGCAUCGCUCGAAUCAUGGAGAGGUGAGUGGAAUUCCGAGUGUAGAGGUGAAAUUCGUAGAUAUUCGGAAGAACACCAGUGGCGAAGGCGACUCACUGGACAUGUAUUGACGCUGAGGUGCGAAAGCGUGGGAGCAAACGGG
rnacentral:rRNA from 1 species